AAUCGGAGCAGACAACAGGCAUUGCCCUAGUAACGGCGAGUGAAGCGGCAACAGCUCAAAUUUGAAAUCUGGCGCAAGCCCGAGUUGUAAUUUGUAGAGGAUGCUUCUGGGUAGCGACCGAUCUAAGUUCCUUGGAACAGGACGUCAUAGAGGGUGAGAAUCCCGUAUGUGACCGGCCCGCACCCUUUACGUAGCUCCUUCGACGAGUCGAGUUGUUUGGGAAUGCAGCUCUAAAUGGGAGGUAAAUUUCUUCUAAAGCUAAAUACCGGCCAGAGACCGAUAGCGCACAAGUAGAGUGAUCGAAAGAUGAAAAGUACUUUGGAAAGAGAGUUAAAAAGCACGUGAAAUUGUUGAAAGGGAAGCGCCUGCAACCAGACUUCGCGGCAGUGUUCCGCCGGUCUUCUGACCGGUUCAUUCUCUGUCGCGAGGCCAUCAUCGUCUGGGCCCGCCGGAUAAGACCUGAGGAAUGUGGCUCCCCCUCGGGGGAGUGUUAUAGCCUCUGGUGAUGCGGCGUGGCUCGGGCGAGGUCCGCGCUUCGGCAAGGAUGAUGGCGUAAUGGUUGUCGGCGGCCCGUCUUGAAACACGGACCAAGGAGUCUAACAUCUAUGCGAGUGUUCGGGUGUCAAACCCCUACGCGUAAUGAAAGUGAACGGAGGUGGGAACCGCAAGGUGCACCAUCGACCGAUCCUGAUGUCCUCGGAUGGAUUUGAGUAAGAGCAUAGCUGUUGGGACCCGAAGAUGGUGAACUAUGCCUGAAUAGGGUGAAGCCAGAGGAAACUCUGGUGGAGGCUCGCAGCGGUUCUGACGUGCAAAUCGAUCGUCAAAUUUGGGUAUAGGGGCGAAAGACUAAUCGAACCAUCUAGUAGCUGGUUCCUGCCGAAGUUUCCCUCAGAUAGCAGUAACGUUUUCAGUUUUAUGAGGUAAGCGAAUGAUUAGAGGCCUUGGGGUUGAAACAACCUUUACCUAUUCUCAACUUUAAAUAUGUAGAGUCCUGUACUUAGUGACGUGACAUUGAUGUACCGUACUAGUGGGCCAUUUUGUAGCAAGAAAACUCUGCGAAAA
rnacentral:rRNA from 1 species